rnacentral:rRNA from 1 species
GACGAACGCUGGCGGCGUGCUUAACACAUGCAAGUCGAACGGAAAGGCCCUGCUUUUGUGGGGUGCUCGAGUGGCGAACGGGUGAGUAACACGUGUGUAACCUGCCCUUGUCUUUGGGAUAACUUCAGGAAACUGGGGCUAAUAUCGGAUAGGAGCUCCUGCUGCAUGGUGGGGGUUGGAAAGUUUCGGCGGUUGGGGAUGGACUCGCGGCUUAUCAGCUUGUUGGUGGGGUAGUGGCCGACCAAGGCUUUGACGGGUAGCCGGCCUGAGAGGGUGACCGGCCACAUUGGGACUGAGAUACGGCCCAGACUCCUACGGGAGGCAGCAGUGGGGAAUAUUGCACAAUGGGCGGAAGCCUGAUGCAGCAACGCCGCGUGCGGGAUGACGGCCUUCGGGUUGUAAACCGCUUUCGCCUGUGACGAAGCGUGAGUGACGGUAAUGGGUAAAGAAGCACCGGCUAACUACGUG